rnacentral:misc_RNA from 1 species
GAUGAAGAACGCAGCGAAAUGCGAUAAGUAAUGUGAAUUGCAGAAUUCAGUGAAUCAUCGAAUCUUUGAACGCACAUUGCGCCCCCUGGUAUUCCGGGGGGCAUGCCUGUCCGAGCGUCAUUACAACCCUCAAGCUCAGCUUGGUGUUGGGCCCCGCCGCCCCGGCGGGCCCUAAAGUCAGUGGCGGUGCCGUCCGGCUCCGAGCGUAGUAAUUCUUCUCGCUCUGGAGGUCCGGUCGUGUGCUCGCCAGCAACCCCCAAUUUUUUUCAGGUUGACCUCGGAUCAGGUAGGGAUACCCGCUGAACUUAAGCAUAUCAAUAAGCGGACGA